AUUCCCGUCAUUCCUAACUUUACCAAUAUUUUAUAUUUUAAUAGAUUUUAAAUGACAAUGGAGGCUAAUCUUGGGUUCUUCUUAAGCAUGUAUUCACUCAUUGGACUCCAAAAUCCAAAAUUUUCCCUAACUUUGUUUUUAGUCCGAAAGAUUGUGCCUCUUUCAGUUCCAAAUCUACUAAGUUGAAUAACUGAAAAGAGAAUUUGCAAUUUCUUGAGGAUAAGCAUGUUUUGGGAGGGGUAUAUUGAAGAAAGCUCAUCCUAAGUGUUCAAUAUUUCUGAAGAAAGAUGAGGGAAUUGGUAUAUAGGAGGGUCAGUUCUUCGGGGUUUCACAAGGAACUUGGUAGAGGCAUGUCCCGAUCCAUAUUUGGUAGAGGUAUUCACGUAUUUUACAUCACCAUUAAGGCAUGGUCACUUCAAUUUGACUAUCCUAGAUUCAUUUGGACAUAGAUCUUAUGGGAAUAUACUAAGUUUUCUGCAAUUGCAUGUUUAUCGCAUCAUAUUCCCUCCUUAAGAUUGCAACAUGACUUAAUUGUGUGCAAAUGUCUAUCUUUCAAUUUUCAAAGUAAAUAUUCGGAUUUGCCGUUAUCCGACUCUUCUUCUUCCUCUUUCUUUGUCGUUUUAUUUUUGGUGGAUUUCAUAGGUGAAUUUUUCUUUUCCCUUGUUUUUAGCCAUAUCUAUGUUACAGUAUUCAAAGUUAACAGGUUUGAUGUUCUCUGAUAUUGAUGUUCUCUUAUAUUGACUGUUCUCUAUGCUGCAUGUGUUAGCUCUAUCUUGAGAUAAAUGUACGAUGUCCAUUUAUAAUUCUUCAUUUUUUAUACUAUAUCUAUUUAAAAAUUAAGACUCUUAUCAUGACAAAACUGUCAAAAUAAGAACCUCCCAUAAUCCUUCACUUCUCGUUCAAUUCCAAUAGCAGAUUUAUUGUGAGAAGAAAGAGUAGAGAAGUUCACAAUAUAAGUUGUUUUGCAGGAAAAUGAAGUCCCUACUGGAGCUUACUUUUGACUUUUGUUAUGUAAAUAGAUAUUCAAACGACCACUGUAACCAUGAAACAAAGCUUUGUUUGGUAAACCUUUUCAAAGAUAUGUGAUUCCCAGGAAGCCUCCUUCGUUGAUCUUUCUGAGAAGUUGCAAAUGAGGUGAACCACUCAACUAGGUAUAAUUCUACUUUGAAAGAUGACGUUGAAUAUUAGAAUUGAGGCUAAGUUUUAUACCUAUUUGAGUUGAAAAUCCCACAAUUUAUGUUAAGCUCUGUCUGGAAUUAUUUCUGAAUUGUCGCAGGUCUCUUCGAUUUCCUCCCUUUAAAACUUCCAAAAGAGAUGGGCAUCAUCAUGUACUUAUCAGGAUAACUACUACCUUAGAAAAUUUAGACAAUCUAAAUAUUUUGUGAAUGAUUAGUAAUAUGAGCUUCGCUCAAACCAUUGUGAUUAGGACAUUCCCUCUAACUUCGUAUACUUGGUCUUCUUUUUUUCAGGGAAUGCCCAGAUAAAACACGUGCUGCCAUCUGUAGCAGCUAGAAUCUAGAUUUUAUCCACUUGUAGAGUCAAUUUCUUUCAUUUUAGCUAGCUCAACAAUGUAAUGGUAAACUUUGUUCCUCAACAGAAUGUACAGAGAAUGAAGCAUAUUAUGUUGAUAUUUAACUCAAUGGUACUGCUUCCUUGA